ACCAAUACGGACGUGUUUUUAUGCGCUCUGAAAAAAGUUUUGACUUUUAAAUUUUUUUUACUACGACAGAAUCUUAGUUGACUGAUGGUCUUUGACAAAGACAGACUUGUUUUUGUGAGCUCUGAAAAAAAUUUGACUUUGAAAUAUUUUUACGAUUAAAAAGUUUCAGUUGACUUUUGAACGUUGACGAAGACGGACGUACUUUCGUGAGCUCUGACUAUUGAUGAAAAGUUUUCGCGUUAUAGAAUAGCGACUUGGUACUCAGGUUGUUGAAUGACUGGAUGACUGUAGUGUUAGGUUAUUGUUAUGAGAUAACAACUUGACUUUGACUUGAGUUGUGAAAUGAAAUCAUACUCUUAUGCGAUGAUAACUUUUGAACGUUUAGUACUGACUGACAACGAAUUUUUGUGAGCGUUAUAUAUGAAAUGUUUGACUUACAUUAAUUUUUUUGAACGACUUGACUUCAAUUUAAGUUUUGACAUCGGACUGAUCGGACGUGUUUUUUUAAGCCCUGACUGUUGUGAAUAAUUAAAUUUAUGUUGUGGUGUCAAGCGAUUGACUGUCAGUUGAGGUUCAGAUGUCGAGCUGUGCGGACGUGUUCAUCGAGCUGCUGUCUACAAAAAACGUGAGUACAAAUUUUUUUCGUUUUACUGUUUACAAGUUGCGUGAUGAUGUAUGAUGGUUGUAAUGUGUUGGGUAGAAAUUACUCAGUGCUGAUACAGUGUCGAUAUGUUGUGAUGAGCGAUAAUAGUGGAUGAUGGUGGAACAGAAUAUUCAUUGAGCUAUUUUGAGGAAGCGAACAUAUGAUGGAAAAAUGUUGCAAAAAUAUUAAAUGACAAUGUAUUGAAUCGCUUUUGUUGAUAUGUAUGAUAUUGAUUAAAUUGUAUUUGCAUGCUGUAACAUUUCUAUUCCAUUUCAGGGGGCUGUGGUGAGUAUUGUAGUAUAAAUUUGUUUCAAUAAAUCAUGAUGAAUGAAAACUGAUUUUGAUUCGUUUUGUACAGGUUUACUUGUAUAGAAGUGUAAUGCGUUGGGUAGAAAUUAGAAUCUACUCAGUACUGAUAUAGUGUCGAUAUGUUGUGAUUAGCGAUGAUGGUGUAUGAUGGUGGAACAGAACAUGAGCUACUUUGGGGAAACGAACAUAUGAUUGAACAAUGAUUGCAAACAUAUUAGAUGAAUGAUAUGAUAUUGCUUAAAUUGUAUUUGCAUGCUGUAACAUUUCUAUUUCAUUUCAGGGUGCUGUGGUGAGUACUGUAGAUUGUAGUGCAUAUGUAUAGAAUUCAAUAAAAGAUUAUGACUGAAAACUGCUUUUGAUUCUUAUUGUACAGUUUUAGGGAUUAUAAGUCUAUAGCAACUCUGUCGGUUGGUGUUCAUGAGUGUGAGCUUAAUACAGCAAUGUUUGAGUAGUACAAAAAUGUUUUCGCUUUUGUGGUCGCCAGCUGUCCGUGAUCUGUAAAGUGAAAAUACACAGAGCUAUGAAGCAUACAAAUGUUUCGAAAUUUUAUCAAUGAUUGUAUACUAUGCAUGUUUUGAUUUAGUUCGUUUCAGAUUUGACAUGAGAUGAAAACCUGACAUGAUUUGAACAGAGCUGGGAAACGAAAAGGUAAGUCUGUUUCAUUCCACUAUGAACACUUGUAUUUUGACAAAAGAAGAGAUAAAGUGAGUUACUUUAUCAUCAUGGUUUCAUUUGGUGUAUUACACAUGAACAGAGGUAAACCUAGCUAGCUUUUCGUGUACUCUAUUUUGGAUGAUGAGUAUGUCAGUAACUUUAAUUGUACGGCUAGUAAAGUAUGAACAUGAAUGCUUUGUUCAGAUUUUCAGAUGUGUGCUGGCAGUUCAAGUCUGGCAGCUGGAGUGAACAGUCGUGUUUUCUGGAGCUCCAACAAUAUGCUAGAAGGUAAGUAACUAUGUUUGUUUUGCAUUGCAUGUUUUUAUAUGUUUCAGACUUUCAAGCAGAGAUGUCAUGCUGACUGGAGUUGAGCACAGGGCAGUGACAAAGUGAAAGGUAAGUACUUUUGACUGAAUGUUUGUUCUAUGCAUGUUUUGUUUUAAUACAUUUCAGGAGUGCUUAUCCAGUGAUGAUAUGACAGUUGGAGUGAACAGUGGAGCCAAGCAGUCUUGUUUUUGGAGCUACUCAACAAGCCUUGAAGAUGCUGAUGGCAGUGAUGGGUUUUCAAGCUGACCUGAACAGAAAAGCACUCAUAUGGUCUCUCAUGCAGUGAUGCAAAAGAAGAAGAUUUCAAGAAAGAAUCACUGCUGCAACUCAGGCCUAUAACAAGG